GUUUGGUCAUAAGUGCAGCAGCGACAAAUGCUGUGUGUCAGCUACGUAAUUACUGCCUCUUAAUAGCGCUGAAGUCUAAAACGAUAACGGUUCCGCCUUUUUAUGUAAUGUCUUAGGUUGCUUCUUAAAACAAAGCGAUUCAGCAGAACAGUUCUGAUUAGCGACGGUCAUACUGGGACCCCGCCCAUCCCAGUGACAAAAAUAACCAUUUAGCUGAGUAACCGUGUUCCCUUACCCACGCACGAGCAACGGAUGCGUCUCAAAAGAAGUACAUGUCAGCAGUCCUCGCUGGCUGGUACAUAAUAAAAUACUAUGAGCCACUAGAGGAAGUAAAGCUGAAUGGUGCAGCUCAUUGAUAAAGUGGAGUAUCAUGUGGUAAUUCGUUUAUGACAGCAAGUGAGACACUGCAGCUGUGUCAGGCCAAUCCACAUGGCUUCUUUAGCUGUCUGGAUCUGUCUGACACAAUGCAGCAACGCACGGCACAUAAACAGGUGAAAAGGCUGAUUAUUAUUUUAUUCAUGGUUGUAAUUUUCAGCAACUGUAGUAUUAUUUUUUCAGGAUAAAAUGGAGGGGGUCAGCACAACAGUGGUAUAACCCUCUCCAAUACAGAAAAUGAGAUAUUGGUGCCAUCUGUUGUCUAGUGAGGUGAACUACCUUUCUAUCAUGUGACAUACACCAAUAUCACCACCUACACAUUUAUUUAGAAUCCACUAAUUUCUUCCCUUGAACAAACUUCCAUUUUGUUUGAGUGCAACCUCAAACAGUCAAUGAGAGGUCAGUAUCUGGAUCACGUAUAAUACCAUCAAGUAUGGCUGACAUUCAGACCGAGAGUGAUGUCUCAAGCAACAAAAAAAAAUGAAGAAACAGUGGAAAACUGAGGAAGGAAAAGGGCAAGGUGUAUACAUUCCUGGAACAGGAGUAUAAAGAAUAGGAAAAGAAAUGCAGGAGAAGAAUAUGUAGGGAGAACAGGUAAGAAAGUCCACAAAUGUAAACAAGGCCCACCAUGUGGUUGUCAUCGUAAGUGUUACGAAUGUUUCAGUGAAGAAAAACCCGAAACAGUGUUCAAAAGAUUAUGAAAUUUGUGUGACUUUAGUUUACAAAAUGUGUACAUUAGUGGGUGCGUGAAAGUAAACCUAGUGAAGAAAAGAUAUGGUGUAAGUGGAAAUGAGAGUAGGAGACAACACACCCGUGAAUAUUAUAUUUCGUUAGAUGGUAGUGAUAAAAGAGUUUGCAAACAGGCAUCCAUAUCUUUGAUUGGAAUCAGUAAUGGUAGACUUUCGAGGGCAGAUUCACAGAAACAGACUGAGGGAAUACCAAAACAAGAUGGUCAUGUAAGACAUGGAAAUAGACUCAAUAAAACUAGUGCUCAUCAGUUCAA